rnacentral:rRNA from 1 species
CCUAACACAUGCAAGUCGAACGGUAACAGGAAACAGCUUGCUGUUUCGCUGACGAGUGGCGGACGGGUGAGUAAUGUCUGGGAAACUGCCUGAUGGAGGGGGAUAACUACUGGAAACGGUAGCUAAUACCGCAUAACGUCGCAAGACCAAAGAGGGGGACCUUCGGGCCUCUUGCCAUCAGAUGUGCCCAGAUGGGAUUAGCUAGUAGGUGGGGUAACGGCUCACCUAGGCGACGAUCCCUAGCUGGUCUGAGAGGAUGACCAGCCACACUGGAACUGAGACACGGUCCAGACUCCUACGGGAG